GAUGAACGCUAGCGGCAGGCCUAAUACAUGCAAGUCGAACGGUGUAGCAGUACACAGUGGCGCACGGGUGCGUAACACGUAUGCAACCUACCUAUCAUUGGGGGAUAGCCUUUGGAAACGGAGAUUAAUACCGCAUAAGACAGUAACAUGGCAUCAUGUAGCUGUUAAAGCUUUGGCGAUGAUAGAUGGGCAUGCGUCCAAUUAGUUAGUUGGUGAGGUAACGGCUCACCAAGACGAUGAUUGGUAGGGGAUCUGAGAGGAUAAUCCCCCACACUGGCACUGAGAUACGGGCCAGACUCCUACGGGAGGCAGCAGUAGGGAAUAUUGGGCAAUGGACGGAAGUCUGACCCAGCCAUGCCGCGUGCAGGAAGAAGGCGUUAUGCGUUGUAAACUGCUUUUUUAUAGGUAGAAGGAGACCUUGUGAGGUUUGGUGACGGUACUAUAAGAAUAAGCACCGGCUAACUCCGUGCCAGCCGCCGCGGUAAUAC
rnacentral:rRNA from 1 species